rnacentral:rRNA from 1 species
UACAGAGGUCUCAAGCGUUGUUCGGAUUCAUUGGGCGUAAAGGGUGCGUAGGCGGCGCGGUAAGUCGGGUGUGAAAUCUCGGAGCUUAACUCCGAAACUGCAUUCGAUACUGCCGUGCUUGAGGACUGGAGAGGAGACUGGUAAUUGACGGUGUAGCGGUGAAAUGCGUAGAUAUCGGGAGGAACACCGGUGGCGAAGGCGGGUCUCUGGGCCGAUACUGACGCUGAGGAGCGAAAGCGUGGGGAGCAAACAGG